CCAUUUCUCCCAGGCUGCUAGGGUUCCAUCUCUCCGGCCGCUGCUGCUCCCGGAGGACGAGGCCGGUGCCGGAGCCGGAGGCGUCGCGCUUGGAUCUUCCCUCCCGAUCGAACCGGUGGAUUCCGUUUUUCUGGAUCUGGGCAAAGGGAUCACGACCGUGGGCUGGGGAUGGGCGAUCACACAGAGGAGAGACAAGAAGGCUCUCCUUGGACUAUGGGCUACGGUGAGCUCUUCUAUGGGCGCCAUAAAUUCCCUCCUCAACAAGCUGCCUGCUGAACCGGAGUUCACGAAAUUAAGGCAAUACCUUGAUGGCAUCCAGCAACAUCUGCUUGGAUUCUGUGCCUGAGGGGUGGUGACGAACGCGCUGGACCACCAUUGGAUGAAGCAGCUCCGCAAGCUCGCCUGUGAUAUUGAGGACUGGAUUGACAAGCUCCUCGUCAAGUCCGGGUGUCGAUUCAAGCAGGAAUCAGAUGGCUCCAAUCUGCUUCGAGAAUUUAAGAACCGGAUUGUUGAUUUGCAAGAUCUUGGAAAACACUUUGGACCUAGAAGACACCACCCCUGAGAAAAUUAUGCAUGGUGGUGAGAUUCCGUGUGGGUAGAAGCCUUGCGUCGUUGGUUUCGGUGGCCCAGAAAGUGAGAUUGUCCAGCGCCUGAUAGAUGAUGAGAAAGAGCUUAAAGUUGUUUCAGUUCUUGGGCCAGGAGGCCUGGGCAAGACCACUCUUGCUAGGGAGGUAUUUAAAAAACAGCGAAGCCAGUUUGACUGUGGAGCUAUUGUAUAUGUUGGCCGGUACCCAUCUAUAGAUGAUACUUGAAUGAAUGUCGCCCGUCAAGUGAUGCCCAAUAGUCUUGUUCCCUGUGACAAGAAGGUUAUCACCAAAAAAUUGAGGGAAUUCCUUUACACAAAGAGGUACCUCAUUGUAAUUGAUGACAUAUGGACCAUUUCCUCUUGGAACUCUACCACAUGUGCUUUUCCAGAGAAUAACCUCGGAAGUAGGAUACUUAGCAACAACUGAGGCUGAGAAGUUAGCCAAGUUCUGCUGUGUAAAGCAAAUUGACUACAUCUUUGUGUUAAAGCCUCUUGUUGCUCAGUAGGAUGUCUUUUUCAGAGGAAGAUUGCCAAAAUUAUCGAAAUAUUCUCAAAAGCGCACUUAAAGUGUGCGGCGGCAACCCAUUGGCGGUAGUUGUCACAGCUGGCUUGUUAGCCACAAAAGCAGGACAGCACUUGGGUGUUUGAGAACACUGUUUUAUCAACGAUGAAACAAGACUAUGGACCACAAGACUAUGUGACCAAGAUACUGGUCAUGAGUUACAGUGAUUUGCCUCUCCCACCUAAAGUCAUGCUUCCUUUA